rnacentral:rRNA from 1 species
CAGGCCUAACACAUGCAAGUCGAACGAGAAAGUGGAGCAAUCCAUGAGUAAAGUGGCGACCGGGUGAGUAACACGUGACUAACCUACCUUUCAGUGGGGAAUAACCUCGGGAAACCGGGGCUAAUACCGCAUAAUGUCUUCGGACCAAAGGAGCAAUUCGCUGGAAGAGGGGGUCGCGGCCGAUUAGCUAGUUGGCGGGGUAACGGCCCACCAAGGCAAUGAUCGGUAGCCGGCCUGAGAGGGCGCACGGCCACACUGGAACUGAAACACGGUCCAGACUCCUACGGGAGGCAGCAGUGGGGAAUUUUGCGCAAUGGGGGAAACCCUGACGCAGCAACGCCGCGUGGAGGAUGAAGCCCCUUGGGGUGUAAACUCCUUUCGAUCGGGACGAUUAUGACGGUACCGGAAGAAGAAGCACCGGCUAACUCUGUGCCAGCAGCCGCGGUAAUACA